CGAACGGGUGAGUAACACGUGGGCAACUUGCCCAAAAGAGGGGGAGUAACACUUGGAAACAGGUGCUAAUACCGCAUAACCAUAGUUACCGCAUGGUAACUAUGUAAAAGGUGGCUAUGCUACCGCUUUUGGAUGGGCCCGCGGCGCAUUAGCUAGUUGGUGGGGUAAAGGCUUACCAAGGCAAUGAUGCGUAGCCGAACUGAGAGGUUGAUCGGCCACAUUGGGACUGAGACACGGCCCAAACUCCUACGGAAGGCAGCAG
rnacentral:rRNA from 1 species